rnacentral:ribozyme from 1 species
AUCAUAACAUUUUGUAUAUAUAGGAGCUCUCUUUCCGCAUAUCUGAGCUUGGGUGUACGGGAAAACCCAACCCCUUGGGAGGAUGGAAAGCAUGGCUAAUUUGAGAGGA